ACUUCUCAAGUGAAAACAAGCUCGGACAGGGUGGAUUUGGAGCUGUUUACAAGGGUAAGCUAGCUAAUGGACAACCUAUAGCAGUGAAGAGGCUUGCAAGUAAUUCACAACAAGGAGAUGUUGAAUUCAAAAAUGAAGUCCUUUUGGUGGUCAAGCUUCAACAUCGAAACUUGGUUAGGCUGGGAUUUUGCUUGCAAAGAACUGAAAGGCUUCUCGUAUAAGAGUUUAUACCAAAUGCCAGUCUUGACCAAUUCAUAUUUGAUUUUAGAAAAAGGACACAAUUAGACUGGGUAAGACGGUUCAAAAUCAUAAAUGGCAUUGCACGAAGACUUCUUUACCUUCAUAAAGAUUCUUGCCUUCGAAUCAUUCAUCGUGCUCUCAAAGCUAGUAAUAUUUUGUUGGAUGAGGAAAUGAACCCAAAGAUUGCUGAUUUUGGUAUGACAAGAUCGUUUGAAGUAGAUGAAACUCAAGGCAAUACAAGUAGAAUUGUGGAAACACAGUAAGUAGAAGUACAAAAUUGUUUAUUUUUCUUUAUAGUAUAUAUCAAUAAUUAGUUUUUUUAUCAUAUUUAUUUUUAUAGUGGCUAUAUGGCUCUAGAGUAUUUAAUGCAUGGCCAGUUUUCAGUUAAA